GAUGAACGCUGGCGGCGUGCCUAAUACAUGCAAGUCGAGCGAACGGACGAGAAUCUUGCUUCUCUGAUGUUAGCGGCGGACGGGUGAGUAACACGUGGAUAACCUCCCUAUAAGACUGGGAUAACUUCGGGAAACCGGAGCUAAUACCGGAUAAUAUUUUGAACCGCAUGGUUCAAAAGUGAAAGACGGUCUUGCUGUUACUUAUAGAUGGAUCCGCGCUGCAUUAGCUAGUUGGUAAGGUAACGGCUUACCAAGGCAACGAUGCAUAGCCGACCUGGGAGGGUGAUAGGACACACUGGAACUGAGACACGGUCCAGACUCCGACGGGAGGCAGCAGUAGGGAAUCUUCCGCAAAGGGAGAAAGCCUGACGGAGCAACGCCGCGUGAGUGAUGAAGGUAUUCGGAUCGUAAAACUCUGUUAUUAGGGAAGAACAUAUGUGUAAGUAACUGCGCAAAUCUUGACGGUACCUAAUCAGAAAGCCACGGCUAACUACGUG
rnacentral:rRNA from 1 species